AGUGAACGCUGGCGGUAGGCCUAACACAUGCAAGUCGAACGGCAGCACAGUAAGAGCUUGCUCUUACGGGUGGCGAGUGGCGGACGGGUGAGGAAUACAUCGGAAUCUACUUUUUCGUGGGGGAUAACGUAGGGAAACUUACGCUAAUACAGCAUACGACCUACGGGGGAAAGCAGGGGACCUUCGGACCUUGCGCGAGUGAAUGAGCCGAUGUCGGAUUAGCUAGUUGGCGGGGUAAAGGCCCACCAAGGCGACGAUCCGUAGCUGGUCUGAGAGGAUGAUCAGCCACACUGGAACUGAGACACGGUCCAGACUCCUACGGGAGGCAGCAGUGGGGAAUAUUGGACAAUGGGCGCAAGCCUGAUCCAGCCAUACCGCGUGGGUGAAGAAGGCCUUCGGGUUGUAAAGCCCUUUUGUUGGGAAAGAAAAGCAGCAGGUUAAUACCCCGCUGUUCUGACGGUACCCAAAGAAUAAGCACCGGCUAACUUCGUG
rnacentral:rRNA from 1 species